GUCUUACGUAGCCUGGGCGGAGGCGAUGGGCUCCUGGUCCAGCGAGGGGCCUUCGGCGGACGAGGUGCAGACCUAGAAGACAGAGGUGGUGAAGCCCGGCCAGUGAGGACAAGAGCUGCGGGGAAGGACACCGAGGUGACUUGACGGCAGCAGCAGGCCUGAAGGCUCUGGCUGCUUUGGAAGAUAUUUCAAUGAGAUGCAAAUCGCAAUCGACUGACCAUUAGUUUCCACUGCAGUGUUUGCAGAUGGAGUCGAAUGUAACCCCCCGGGAAUGGAGCCGGGAGGGUCAGAGAACGCGGCUGCGCUCUGGAUCUCCGAAGGGGGGCGGGGGCCUGGAAGAGGUCCGG
rnacentral:lncRNA from 1 species